AUGUUGUGCUUAAGAUGGUUGUGGAUUGAAUGGGAUGACCCUCCGAGAGCUUGGUUUGGCUUGGGAACUCCGUGCAACAACAAAGAUCGGGACAUCUUCGCAGCAGCCACUAAGGUUACUAUUGGUGAUGGCGCCACCGCGAGAUUCUGGGAGUCAUCUUGGCUGGAGGGGAUGAGACCCAAAGACAUUGCACCAAAAUUUUUUGAGAUCUCGCAGAAAAAGGGGACCACGGUGGACAAGGCUUUGAGGGAUCAUGCUUGGGUUAAUCACAUCGAUACCCAGCAUGGGAUGACGCUUGCUCACAUUCAACAAUUUGCCACUCUAUGGGAAAAGCUAGCCAAUGUCAACAUACAACCUGGAGUUUGUGAUUCUAUCAUCUGGAAGCUCACUAAUGCCGGGACUUACACUGCAUCGUCGGCUUACAAGGCCCAAUUCGCUGGACAUCUACGCUCAACCUUGCAGGAUAUGGUUUGGAAGGUUUGGUCACCCCCCAAAUGCAAAUUUUUUGCUCGGUUGGUCACUCAAAACAGGAUUUGGACAGCGGAUAGACUUCAGCGUAGAGGAUGGCCCAAUUGCGAUCAAUAUCCUCUUUGUAGCCAGGUGCAGGAAUCAGCGGCCCACCUCCUUUUCAAGUGCCGGUUCGCAACUCGCGUCUGGAAGGAGGUGUUCUCAUGGCUGGAUCUUCAAGUUGACACGAUGAAUUGGCAUAUCUUCACCACGGUUAAAGCUUGGUGGCAAGAAAUCAUCGACAUUGGUCAUCAAAGAAAGGCUCUCUCAUCGUUGAUCCACCUUGUUGGAUGGGAGAUUUGGAAAGAAAGGAACGCGCGCGUCUUUAGAAAUAAAGUGGCACCGGUGGCCGUGAUUGUUAACCUUAUUAAGGAGGAGGCAGCGCUUUGGGCUAUUGCGGGUGCCAAGCAUUUGUGUAAUGUAAUGCCGCGAGAGUAA
rnacentral:rRNA from 1 species